AGAAAAAUGGAACAGCGUUGUGAACAUGUUGCCGGCUGUGUCCGGUAAGAAUGCGUUAGAGCACAUCUAAGGUGGUGUGAACAUCUGGGGAUGGAUGCGUUUAAGGCAUGGGCCGAAUUUUUUGCUCUGUCCCAACGACAUGUACGGAACUGUGCUGAACCCUUGGUACGCCCGACGAAAAAAUUGCCGCAACAACUGUUUCGCCUCGGUCUAGCGCAUGCGCAUAGACGCCGGGGUGUGUACGUGCAUUUCCGAACGGCGCCGCCGCGGCACCAAGGUCGACAAAAAUGCUGAGUAACGGUUUUGAGUUUGCGCGAAUCUGGUGUCGUUUCUCGUUUGGUCGUUUCUAAUCUCUUUAUCUGUGUGUGUGCCUGCGGUUUGAUUCGGAGUCGUAUGAAAGUGUGUUUUUUGACCCACUGAUUUUCCAUCAACAUAAAUAAUCUACUCGGGAGGAAUAAAGUGAGCUUGAAAGAUUCAAAGCUUCUGUGUGCGGUGUGCCAGCUGUGCCUAUGAUCUCUCCAAGUUUUAUCGCGUUUCAGUUCAGCAUUUUGUCUUGACCCAGUGAAUUUUCAUGAAUAAGAUUUAAAAUGCGCAUAACCUCAAAUACUCAGUGACGGUUUUCGAGGUAUCCUAAUUCACAAGAAUCAGUGAUGUCUCCGUAAAGUGGAAAUCAUUACAAUGGUUUGGUUUUGUGAAAUGGAAUUCCUGUCAAAAGAUUUCAAAUGCCCAUGCCCUGAAUAGUGUCUCAGUCCACAAGAUUUCUCAACAUAUGACCUCAUUAGGCCUGCAUUAUCCUGUUUCGG